rnacentral:rRNA from 1 species
CCUACGGGUGGCAGCAGUGGGGAAUAUUGCACAAUGGGCGAAAGCCUGAUGCAGCAACGCCGCGUGGAGGAAGAAGGGUUUCGGCUCGUAAACUUCUAUCAACAGGGAAGAAAGAAAUGACGGUACCUGAAUGAGACGCCGCGGCUAACUACGUGCCAGCAGCCGCGGAAAUACGUAGGGGGCAAGCGUUAUCCGGAAUUACUGGGUGUAAAGGGUGAGUAGGCGGCAUGGUAAGCCAGAUGUGAACGCCUUGGGCGUAACCCGAGGAUUGCAUUUGGAACUAUCAAGCUAGAGUGCGGGAGAGGAAAGCGGAAUUCCUGGUGAAGCGGUGAAAUGCGUAGAUAUUAGGAAGAACACCAGUGGCGAAGGCGGCCUGCUGGACUGAAACUGACGCUGAGGCACGAAAGCGUGGGGAGCGAACAGGAUUAGAUACCCGAGUAGUC